rnacentral:rRNA from 1 species
UGGGGAAUAUUGGGCAAUGGAGGCAACUCUGACCCAGCAACGCCGCGUGAGGGAAGAAGGUUUUCGGAUUGUAAACCUCUGUCCUAGGGGACGAAGAAAGUGACGGUACCCUAGGAGGAAGCCCCGGCUAACUACGUGCCAGCAGCCGCGGUAAUACGUAGGGGGCGAGCGUUGUCCGGAAUUACUGGGCGUAAAGGGUGCGUAGGCGGUGUGUUAAGUUAGAUGUGAACUCCCCGGGCUUAACUCGGGAGGUGCAUUUAAAACUGCUGAACUAGAGUGCAGGAGAGGAAAGCGGAAUUCCUAGUGUAGCGGUGAAAUGCGUAGAUAGUAGGAGGAACACCAGUGGCGAAGGCGGCUUUCUGGACUGUAACUGACGCUGAGGCACGAAAGCGUGGGGAGCGAACA